GGAGAAGCCUGUUUGCCCGCCUCCUACCUUCUGACUAUGGCCCCGGGAGACUUUGUCCUGUGUAAGCAUUAUUUGGGCUUAUUGGAUUUUGAAACACUUUUUCUGCCCCUUUGAAUACAUGAGAAGGUGCGCCCCUCCCCCGUUUCCUGUCUAUUGUUCUCCAGCAGGGCGUUGCCCAAGAGACACUGCCAGACCAGUUGGAACUUGUUGCUAAACUUUAACCCCAUGGCGAUUUGACUGUGUUUGUGGGAUCUGAGCACUGUUCGAAUAUAGUGAGCGCUCAGAUCCAUGUGGGGGUUCUGUUCAGUAUGAUAGGAAUUAUGUAUUUU